AGGACGCAGUUCGUGACGGUUAUAUUCUGGUGUGAUCCUGAUUUUGCAAAGACUUUUCCCAAAGACCGUUGUCCUCUGAGUUGAGGUUGACUUUUUUCUCCUCUUGACCUGUGAUAAAAAAAGGUAAUACAAACAGCUUCGAAAAUGACGUCAGAUGAUGAUGUAGUGACGCUUGAGGACAUUGAAAAGGCAAGAGAAGUAAUCAUGAAAUCACCGCUCAACGUUCGUAAAACGCCCCUUUUGAAAAAUAUGACGUCAUAUUUCCCAGAACUGGACCCAAGCAUAAAUCUACACCUGAAACUUGAAAGUCUACAAACCACAGGUUCUUUCAAAAUACGCGGAGUUGCAAACCAGAUGGCAAAUCUUCCCCAAGAGGUGAAAAGUGGCAAAAGGAAGCUGAUAACUAUGUCAGCAGGGAACUAUGGGAAGGCAUUUGCAUACACAUUGGACAAACUUAAUCUGUCUGGUCUUUGCUUGAUGCCCUUAACGGCGCCAUCAAGCAGGGUAGCCUUAAUAAAGUGUUGCUAUGGAAAUUUUGGAAGAUGACGUCAGACCUGACGUUGUUGUCGUCUGCUGUGGCGGCGGGGGACUAGUUUCGGGAAUAGCGGCGGCCAUUAAAUUGUCCGGGUUGAGGGACUGUAGAGUUUAUGCAGUAGAACCUGAAGGAUCCCGGACAAUGUAUGAAAGCUUUCGGAAAGGGGAACCUGUUACAAUGGCCGUUAAUUCAGUAGCUACAGGGCUAUCACCUCCAUAUGCAGGAAAGUUAACUUAUCAGUGCUGUCGAAGAUAUGUAGAAGAUGUCAUUUUGGUGUCCGAUAACGAAAUCUUAAAGUGUAUGUCAAGACUCUUUGAUAUCGGGUUAGUGGCCGAACCCUCUGGCUGUGCUGCUUUGGCGGCCAUUUUAAAUAAUAAGAUCCCGGAUGUAGCGGGAAAGCGAGUUGUUGCUGUUGUCACCGGAAGUAAUGUCACGCUGUCAGAAAUGAGUUCAUAUAUUCAAUAAAGAGUGAUGAGACAU
rnacentral:misc_RNA from 1 species